rnacentral:rRNA from 1 species
AACUGACCUCAGACAGGUAAGAACACCCGCUGAACUUAAGCAUAU